rnacentral:rRNA from 1 species
GUAGGUGGCAAGCGUUGUCCGGAAUUAUUGGGCGUAAAGCGCGCGCAGGCGGUCCUUUGAGUCUGAUGUGAAAGCCCACGGCUCAACCGUGGAGGGUCAUUGGAAACUGGGGGACUUGAGUACAGAAGAGGAAAGCGGAAUUCCAAGUGUAGCGGUGAAAUGCGUAGAGAUUUGGAGGAACACCAGUGGCGAAGGCGGCUUUCUGGUCUGUAACUGACGCUGAGGCGCGAAAGCGUGGGGAGCAAACAGGGAUUAGAUACCCUGGUAGUCCACGCCGUAAACGAUGAGUGCUAAGUGUUAGGGGGUUUCCCGCCCCUUAGUGCUGCAGCUAACGCAUUAAGCACUCCGCUGGGGAUACGGCCGCAAGGCUG